rnacentral:rRNA from 1 species
GAAGACGGCCAUAGUAAGUUGGAAACAUCUGUUCCCAUCCGAACACAGAAAUUAAGCUUCUUACGUCGUUUGUGCUAGUAUCCUACAAGAUGCAAAGCUUCGAUGCUGUCUUCU